CGUAACUAUAAUUAUCUCUAAAACUUAUAUAAAAUAAGCACAUGCCCUUGUAGUCCUUCCCAUCUCUCUCGUUAUAUAUGCACAUAUGUACAUACACAAAAUAGCUUACCUAACUUUGCCCUUUCAAUACAAUCAUCAUUCCCUCUACUCCUAUUCAAUCAAAGUUAGCUUGAAAUUAUUGAAGAAUUAUGGAUGCCCCUCCCCCGAAGAGAUGACAUAUGUUGAUCACUUUAAGAAGCGACACGGAGAAAAAGGCUGCCUCUAUGCAUGGUGUGUUUACAGAUGUUAUAUAUUUUUACUGCUGUAGAAAAAGCAUAAAAAUUUAUCAAUUCAUUGUAUUUUUCGUUUUAAAAAUCAACAUUUUACAUAUUUUGAUGCAGUUUAUUCACACUGUUUUGCUGUUUCUGCUGCUAUGAGGCUUGUGAGUGCUGCCUUGAUAUUUGCUGCUGCAAUUGUGGAUCUUUAGAUAGUAAUGGAGCAAGAUUAUUUGUUGUUCAUGAGAUGUGUGUCUGAAUUUCAUAAUUUUCUGUAAUUCUAAAGAUUGAAUUCUGUACAAGAUUAUUUGAGUUAAAAAACUAAUUCCCUUCCCAAUAAAUGUUACUUGUGGAAACAAUUCUCCAAAUAGUGAUCUUGAGAUGAAUCUUCAUAGAUUUAAUAAACUAUCUCAAGAUAUUACCAAUAAUGGUGAGACUCUAUAAGAUGAUCGAAAAUCG
rnacentral:lncRNA from 1 species